rnacentral:misc_RNA from 1 species
GGUUGGUAGCAAGGAUUCUUCUGUUCAUCUACUUCUUCACUCACAUGUUCAUCCACUUUGAUCAGGUGAAGAAAAUAUUUCCUUUGGGUUUCUAUAGCAUACUCUCAGCGGCACCUAUAAUGGCAGUGAUGAAUGUGGUUUGGUUUUGGAAGAUAGCAAAAGGUUUGAUUAAAACUCUUUCUAGAACAAAAAGACACAGUCAGUGAUUUUGUUCCAAUGGUGGCCUUGCACUUCAUAUUCUGUAUUAACAGAUAGGAAUUAAUUUUGGAACAGCAAUUAUUUUGAAUGGUUAAUGCUGUGCUUUAGACAUAGUAAUUAUUGUUCUAGCAAAUGUACAUUUCAUUUGAUUCUUAAUCUUUUUUUCUUUUAAUUAAUUUUAAAAGAAGAUAGCUCAUUUGAUCUUAACAGUAUGCUUGGAUCAAAUGAACAUAGAAUUUAUUUAGUUUGUGAAUGAAUUUCACAUUUGACA